GAGUUCUAGUCGUUAUAUGCAGAGGGCGUUGUANCUUUCAGAGGGUGUUUUGGCNNUUGCAGCAGUNUAAGUCAGAGGGAGCGAGUCAUCUUAGAGGUUGAGAAUCUUGUAUGGGAUAGCCUUCUUCGGNGANUCAAAGCGCUUUGGACGGCANGUGUAAUUGGGAAGUAAAGUUCUAAAAAAGAUAAAAAUUUGUCAGAGANCUAAAUCCCGCCCAGAGAGCGAUAGAAAGCAAGUAGAGUGUUCGGAAAGAGAGUCACAUAGCGGAAAGAGAGUCAAAAGGGAAGUGAAAUGCAGCCAAGCGAAGCUGUAGCAGCUCAUCUAGUCCACACUUGGCAUUUCUUUGGGCAGCACACCAUCAGUUUAGGCGGUUCGAAAAGAACCUUCUUCAUCUAUCAUCCCUCAUCCGGGUGACCUUAUAGGGGAGACGUCGUGCAACCAGCCAGGACUGAGGUCCGCGCAUUUGCUAGGAUGCUGGCGUAAUGGCUGUAAGCGGCC
rnacentral:rRNA from 1 species